rnacentral:rRNA from 1 species
UAAGACGAACCGUGCGAACGUUGUUCGGAAUCACUGGGCUUAAAGGGCGCGUAGGCGGGCAGCCAAGUCGGGGGUGAAAUACUUCAGCUUAACUGGAGAAUUGCCCCCGAUACUGGCCGUCUCGAGGGAGGUAGGGGCACGCGGAACUUCCGGUGGAGCGGUGAAAUGCGUUGAGAUCGGAAGGAACGCCGGCGGCGAAAGCGGCGUGCUGGACCUCUUCUGACGCUGAUGCGCGAAAGCCAGGGGAGCGAACGGGAUUAGAUACCCCGGUAGUCCUGGCCCUAAACGAUGGGUACUAGGCAGGGGACCAGGCAUGGGUUCCCUGCCGGAGCAAAAGUGCUAAGUACCCCGCCUGGGGAGUAUGGUCGCAAGGCUG